rnacentral:rRNA from 1 species
UACGAAGGGGGCUAGCGUUGCUCGGAAUCACUGGGCGUAAAGCGCACGUAGGCGGAUCUUUAAGUCAGGGGUGAAAUCCCAAGGCUCAACCUUGGAACUGCCUUUGAUACUGGGGAUCUCGAGUCCGGAAGAGGUUGGUGGAACUCCGAGUGUAGAGGUGAAAUUCGUAGAUAUUCGGAAGAACACCAGUGGCGAAGGCGGCCAACUGGUCCGGUACUGACGCUGAGGUGCGAAAGCGUGGGGAG